GACGAACGCUGGCGGCGUGCUUAACACAUGCAAGUCGAACGGGAAGGCCCUGCUUUGGGGGGGUGCUCGAGUUGCGAACGGGUGAGUAACACGUGAGUAACCUGCCCUUGACUUUGGGAUAACUUCAGGAAACUGGGGCUAAUACCGGAUAGGAGCUCCUGCUGCAUGGUGGGGGUUGGAAAGUUUCGGCGGUUGGGGAUGGACUCGCGGCUUAUCAGCUUGUUGGUGGGGUAGUGGCUUACCAAGGCUUUGACGGGUAGCCGGCCUGAGCGGGUGACAGGACACAUUGGGCUUGAGAUACGGCCCAGACUCCUACGGGAGGCAGCAGUGGGGAAUAUUGCACAAUGGGCGGAAGCCUGAUGCAGCAACGCCGCGUGCGGGAUGACAGCCUUCGGGUUGUAAACCGCUUUCGCCUGUGACGAAGCGUGAGUGACGGUAAUGGGUAAAGAAGCACCGGCUAACUACGUG
rnacentral:rRNA from 1 species